GAUGAACGCUGGCGGCGUGCCUAAUACAUGCAAGUCGAGCGAACAGACGAGGAGCUUGCUCCUCUGAUGUUAGCGGCGGACGGGUGAGUAACACGUGGAUAACCUACCUAUAAGACUGGGAUAACUUCGGGAAACCGGAGCUAAUACCGGAUAACAUGUUGAACCGCAUGGUUCAACAGUGAAAGACGGUCUUGCUGUCACUUAUAGAUGGAUCCGCGCCGCAUUAGCUAGUUGGUAAGGUAACGGCUUACCAAGGCAACGAUGCGUAGCCGACCUGAGAGGGGGAUCGGCCACACUGGAACUGAGACACGGUCCAGACUCCUACGGGAGGGAGCAGUAGGGAAUCUUCCGCAAUGGGCGAAAGCCUGACGGAGCAACGCCGCGUGAGUGAAGAAGGUCUUCGGAUCGUAAAACUCUGUUAUUAGGGAAGAACAAAUGUGUAAGUAACUAUGCACGUCUUGACGGUACCUAAUCAGAAAGCCACGGCUAACUACGUG
rnacentral:rRNA from 1 species